GACGAACGCUGGCGGUGUGCUUAACACAUGCAAGUCGAACGGAAAGGCCCUGCUUUGGUGGGGUGCUCGAGUGGCGAACGGGUGAUUAACACGUGAGUUACCUGCCCUUGACUUUGGGAUAACUUCAGGAAACUUGUGCUAAUAGCGGAUAGGGGCUCCUCCUGAAUGGUGGGUGUUGGAAAGUUUCGUCGGUUGGGGAUGGAAUCGCGGCUUAUCAAGUUGUUGGUGGGGUAGUGGCUUACCAAGGCUUUGACGGUUAGCCGGCCUGAGAGGGGGACCGGCCACAUUGGGACUGAGAUACGGCCCAGACUCCUACGGGAGGCAGCAGUGGGGAAUAUUGCACAAUGGGCGGAAGACUGAUGCAGCAAAGCCGCGUGCGGGAUGACGGCCUUCGGGUUGUAAACCGCUUUCGCCUGUGACGAAGAGUGAGUGACGGUAAUGGGUAAAGAAGCACCGGCUAACUACGUG
rnacentral:rRNA from 1 species